UAGGGAAUCUUCGGCAAUGGACGAAAGUCUGACCGAGCAACGCCGCGUGAGUGAAGAAGGUUUUCGGAUCGUAAAACUCUGUUGUUAGAGAAGAACAAGGACGUUAGUAACUGAACGUCCCCUGACGGUAUCUAACCAGAAAGCCACGGCUAACUACGUGCCAGCAGCCGCGGUAAUACGUAGGUGGCAAGCGUUGUCCGGAUUUAUUGGGCGUAAAGCGAGCGCAGGCGGUUUCUUAAGUCUGAUGUGAAAGCCCCCGGCUCAACCGGGGAGGGUCAUUGGAAACUGGAAGACUUGAGUGCAGAAGAGGAGAGUGGAAUUCCAUGUGUAGCGGUGAAAUGCGUAGAUAUAUGGAGGAACACCAGUGGCGAAGGCGGCUCUCUGGUCUGUAACUGACGCUGAGGCUCGAAAGCGUGGGGAGCAAACAG
rnacentral:rRNA from 1 species